rnacentral:lncRNA from 1 species
CUGAAGUUCAGUUCACUUAUUUACUCUGUGUAACAUUUAAGUCCUGAAACCGAGUUGAAGUUACUUAAAUUUACAUGACCUUUUGGUCAAAGCCCAGGUCACCUGACUGCUAGUGGAAGAAGCUAGCUAGCUAGCUGGUGGUGGUUGUCGCGGUUACCACAGGAGGGAGGCCACUGGCUGUGACAUCACACUGUGACAUCACACCACGCAGUCAAAAAGCAAGAGUUCCAAAAGCAACAGUUACACUCAGGAGCAGGAUCUCCUGAGUAAAGAAGGCUGGUUUCUGAUUUUAUUCAGAACAACUUCUUGCUAGAAAUGGCAGCGAUGAACCAGAGGCCAAUUCAGCGUCGAUUUAAACUGAACAGAGACAGCUGGAUCAACAUCCUCCAGCCCGGGCAGAACCAACGUCCUCCUAGUUCUGCGAAUAGGAAGGUGUUAGAGAAGACAACAGGGAGACUUGAGAUCACUAUAAAACGAUCCACCAGGAAGUGGAAGAGCACUGACUCUGAUAAAGAGACAGCACCACCGAAGAAACCUGAGAUCAGUCUGAACAAAGAGUCCUUCGGUGGUGGUCCUGUAAAAAGAACAGUGCUCGUGGUGUGUCCUGUUGCUCCGACUGAGAGACGUGGCUGCAAGCGUCGCCGUAGGCCGAACACAAACGGCCAUCCAUGUCCUGCUAAACAAGCUCGACAUGGACAAGCGGAGCGUCCUUCAUUAACUGGAGAAGACAUAAAGAUUAUUGAUCAACUGUGCAGAUGCUUUUCACUGCUAAGGGUUACUGGAUAAUCAUUCGGGGCUGUUCCCCCCGGAUGCCCAGGCCAGGCGACGCCCCUGAUCUGCACAGCAGUGAACAUCAUCACAACACAACUACCUCAGAAUUAAACAUGCUGGCUAUGAAUUUUACUUUCCUCC